rnacentral:rRNA from 1 species
UGGGGAAUAUUGCACAAUGGGCGCAAGCCUGAUGCAGCAACGCCGCGUGAACGAUGAAGGUCUUCGGAUCGUAAAGUUCUGUUGCAGGGGAAGAUAAUGACGGUACCCUGUGAGGAAGCCCCGGCUAACUACGUGCCAGCAGCCGCGGUAAUACGUAGGGGGCUAGCGUUAUCCGGAUUUACUGGGCGUAAAGGGUGCGUAGGUGGUCUUUCAAGUCGGUGGUUAAAGGCUACGGCUCAACCGUAGUUAGCCUCCGAAACUGGAAGACUUGAGUGCAGGAGAGGAAAGUGGAAUUCCCAGUGUAGCGGUGAAAUGCGUAGAUAUUGGGAGGAACACCAGUAGCGAAGGCGGCUUUCUGGGCUGCGACUGACACUGAGGCACGAAAGCGUGGGUAGCAAACAGG